GCGGUUGUGGCGAAGUGGUUAACGCGGCGGCUUGUGGCGCCGAUAUUCGUGGGUUCGAUUCCCAUCAGCCGCCCCA
rnacentral:tRNA from 2 species